AAGACUAAAUUUUCAGUGAUCAUUUCUAUAGUAUCUAUUUAAGAAAUGUAAUUUGAAAGCGUUACGUCUCUCUAAUCACGAUGAUGAGUUUUGAUGUACUCUUCUGAGCGUGAAUUGGAUUUUGGCUAAUUAUUCUUUCAUGGGUUUUAAUUCUGAAUGUUGUUUGUUUCUUCGGAAGCAUGAGAGAAAGAGUACAUGGUCCGAGUGAU